UUGCAAUCAUUGAAGUCAGUCUUGGGUUGGAUGACAAACUCUUGGUACCAUCGUCAAGUUUUCUAUCUCUAAGACUAUACAUACAAAGAUAUUUCGAUGGAAUCAUUGUCAAGUUUUCUAUCUCUGUUAGCCUUACAUUUGUUACCUACUUAAUUAGUUUAUGAUUUCUUUUAGUUGUACAUGAAGUGUAGGAGGUAAGGAGGAGAUCGAAAGGGGUUCAUGAUGUAUGAGAUGCAAGCUCGAUGGUGCUGUGGUCUCUUCCCUUGUCCUGCUAGUACACAAAAGGUCAGAUGUGAUGGCUUGCCUACCGCUACAGGGCAUAUUAGUCGAUGUUGCUGACAAUGGGAUCGAGAAGAUGGCAAUCAUAUGUCGAGAUCGGUGAUGUCCUUCAAAAGUUACACUCGGAUGUACAAGUUGUAUCCACUUUGGUCUUUAGUGGCAACGAACCAACCGAUGGCAGAAGAAGAUGAUAUCAAUUGUGGUAUCAUACAAAUUGAUGGCUGAGAUACUAUGGAUUCUGCAAUCAGAAUUCUUCUAUUAGGUCCCAUGUUUGUCUUUAAGAACUUGGAAAUUUCGAAGAGAGAUUACCAGAGAAAACAAUCCAAAAUAGCACAAGACAAACUGUCCCUCCCAGUAACGAAAUAAAUUGCUAGUUGAUUCUACAUUGACUAUUAUCUGCUAUUAGAAG
rnacentral:lncRNA from 1 species